UGUGAUCCAGAGUACCACGGGACACGUGAAACCCUGUGGGAAGCAGGAGGGACCAUCCUCCAAGGCUAAAUACUACUUAGUGACCGAUAGCGCAUAGUACCGUGAGGGAAAGGUGAAAAGAACCCCGGGAGGGGAGUGAAAUAGAACCUGAAACCCUGUGCUUACAAGCUGUGGGAGCACUUUAUAUGUGUGACCGCGUACUUUUUGUAGAACGGGCCAACGAGUUACGACAGUAAGCAAGGUUAAGUACUUAAGGUAUGGAGCCGUAGUGAAAGCGAGUCUUAAAUGGGCGUUAAGUUUUCUGUCGUAGACCCGAAACCGGGCGACCUACCCAUGAGCAGGAUGAAGCGAAAGUAAAAUUUCGUGGAGGUCCGAACCCACGAGCGUUGAAAAGCUCGGGGAUGACUUGUGGGUAGCGGUGAAAUUCCAAUCGAGCCCGGAGAUAGCUGGUUCUCCCCGAAAUAGCUUUAGGGCUAGCCUCAAGGUUGAGAAAUACGGAGGUAGAGCACUGAAUAUCCUAGGGGGCAUUGCGCUUACCGAAGAUUAUCAAACUCCGAAUGCCGUUAUUUUAUACUUGGGAGUCAGACUGUGGGUAAUAAGAUUCAUAGUCGAGAGGGCAACAGCCCAGAUCGUCAGCUAAGGUCCCUAAAUGUAAGUUAAGUGGUAAAGGAUGUGGGAUUGCAUAGACAACCAGGAUGUUGGCUUAGAAGCAGCCACUCAUUUAAAGAGUGCGUAAUAGCUCACUGGUCGAGUGAUCCUGCGCCGAAGAUUACCGGGGCUAAAACUUACUACCGAAGCUACGAUAUCAUUUAUGAUAGGUAGGGGAGCUUCCUAUGCAGGCUGAAGCAUGACCGUAAGGACAUGUGGACAGUAUAGGAGUGAGAAUGUUGGCAUGAGUAGCGAGACGUGGGUGAGAAUCCCACGGGCCGUAAACCCAAGGUUUCCAGGGGAAGGUUCGUCCGCCCUGGGUUAGUCGGGACCUAAGCCGAGGCCGAAAGGCGUAGGUGAUGGACAACAGGUUGAGAUUCCUGUACCACCGAUAAUCGCUUGAGAGAAGGAAUGACACAGUAGGAUAAGCUAACCACACUGUUGGUUAUGUGUGGCUAAGUACUGAGGCAGUCAAGGUAGGCAAAUCCGCCUUGAUAAUGCUGGGGUACGAUGGGGAGCGAAAUUAAGUAGCGAAGUAGCUGAUUUCACACUGUCGAGAAAAGUUUCUAUCGAGAUUAAAGGUGCCCGUACCGCAAACCGACACAGGUGGGUGAGGAGAGUAUCCUAAGGCCAGCGAGAGAACUGUUGUUAAGGAACUCGGCAAAAUGACCCCGUAACUUAGGGAGAAGGGGUGCCACGUUAGGGUUAACGCCCGAGGUGGCCGCAGAGAAUAGGCCCAAGCGACUGUUUACCAAAAACACAGGUUUCUGCUAAGUCGCAAGACGAUGUAUAGGAGCUGACGCCUGCCCGGUGCUGGAAGGUUAAGGGGAUCUGUUAGGAUUUAUCCGAAGCAGUGAACUUAAGCCCCAGUAAACGGCGGCCGUAACUAUAACGGUCCUAAGGUAGCGAAAUUCCUUGUCGGGUAAGUUCCGACCCGCACGAAAGGCGUAACGAUUUGGGCACUGUCUCAACAACAGACUCGGUGAAAUUGUAAUCCCGGUGAAGAUGCCGGGUACCUGCGACAGGACGGAAAGACCCCAUGGAGCUUUACUGUAGCUUGACAUUGAAUUUUGGUGCUACAUGUACAGGAUAGGUGGGAGGCUAUGAAGUCGGGACGCCAGUCUCGGCGGAGCCAUCCUUGGGAUACCACCCUUGUAGUACUGAGAUUCUAACCAGAUACCUUGAAUCAGGUAUUGGGACACUGUCAGGUGGGCAGUUUGACUGGGGCGGUCGCCUCCCAAAGAGUAACGGAGGCGCUCAAAGGUUCUCUCAGCACGGUCGGAAAUCGUGCGUAGAGUGUAAAGGCAGAAGAGAGCUUGAUUGCAAGACAUACAGGUCGAGCAAGGACGAAAGUCGGACUUAGUGAUCCGGUGGUUCCGCA
rnacentral:rRNA from 1 species